rnacentral:rRNA from 1 species
CCCAGACUCCUACGGGAGGCAGCAGUGGGGGAUAUUGCACAAUGGGGGGAACCCUGAUGCAGCGACGCCGCGUGGGUGAAGGAGCGUUUCGGCGCGUAAAGCCCUAUCGGCAGGGAAGAAGGAGGACGGUACCUGACUAAGAAGCCCCGGCUAACUACGUGCCAGCAGCCGCGGUAAUACGUAGGGGGCAAGCGUUAUCCGGAUUUACUGGGUGUAAAGGGGGCGCAGACGGCAGCGCAAGCCAGGAGUGAAAGCCCGGGGCCCAACCCCGGGACUGCUCUUGGAACUGCGCGGCUGGAGUGCAGGAGGGGCAGGCGGAAUUCCUGGUGUAGCGGUGAAAUGCGUAGAUAUUAGGAGGAACACCAGUGGCGAAGGCGGCCUGCUGGACGAUGACUGACGCUGAGGCUCGAAAGCGUGGGGAGCAAACAGGAUUAGAUACCCCGGUAG